GGCUCGGUGCGAGUACGAAGUCUGCGACUGCGGCGCGGGCGCCCGGCGCGCUUGUCCCUCGCGCGUCGCCGUCUGCGCAGCCCGGGUUCGGUCGGAGGAGGCCGCCGGCGUCGUGGUUCCGGUUCCGGCUGGCGUCGGCACCUGUGGCGAGGGCGGCGGCCAUGGCGUACUCCACGGUGCAGAGGGUGGCCCUGGCCUCGGGGCUCGUCCUGGCUGUGUCGCUACUGCUGCCCAAGGCUUUCCUGUCCCGCGGAAAGCGGCAGGAGCCGCCGCCGGCGCCGGAAGGAAAGUUGGGUCGAUUUCCACCUAUGAUGCAUCAUCACCAGCCGCCCUCAGAUGGCCAGACCCCUGGAGCACGUUUCCAGAGGUCUCACCUCGCAGAGGCAUUUGCAAAGGCCAAAGGAUCAGGUGGAGGCACUGGAGGAGGUAGCGGAAGAGGCCUGAUGGGACAGAUUAUUCCAAUCUAUGGUUUUGGCAUUUUUCUAUAUAUACUGUAUAUUCUAUUUAAGCUUUCAAAGGGGAAAACUCCUGCAGAGGAUCGGAAAUGCUCUACAGCCGCAGCUGGAACUGCCCACAGGAAAAUUACCAACUUUGAACUUGUUCAACUGCAAGAAAAACUGAAGGAGACCGAGGAAGCCAUGGAAAAAUUAAUCAAUAGAGUGGGACCUAAUGGUGAGAGCAGAGCACAGACAGUGACUUCUGACCAAGAAAAACGUUUGCUGCAUCAGCUCCGAGAAAUCACCAGGGUCAUGAAAGAAGGAAGAUUCACUGACAGACUCACUCCAGAGAAAGAAGCUGAGGAGGCCCCUUACAUGGAAGACUGGGAAGGUUAUCCUGAAGAGACUUACCCGAUUUAUGACCUUUCAGACUGUAUCAAGCGGAGGCAAGAAACCAUCCUAGUGGAUUACCCUGACCCCAAGGAACCCUCUGCUGAAGAAAUAGCUGAAAGAAUGGAAUUGCUAGAAGGUGACGAAUCAGACCAUUUGGGCUGGGAAUUGCCCACUGACUCCAGAGUCCAGGAAGCUAAUUCUGUUACCUCAUGUGACCCAGAGCCAGAAACCUGUUCCUGCUGUUUUCAUGAAGAGGAGGAUCCCGCGGUCUUGGCAGAGAAUGCUGGGUUCAGUGCAGACAGUUACACUGAGCAAGAGGAAACCACCAAAGAAGUAUGGCCCCAAGACUCCAGGGAUCAAGGGUUGGGCAUCAGCACUGAUAAAGCGCAUACAGAUGGUACAUUGAGGAAGCGGAACCCCCAGGGUUUGGAGUUGAAAACAGCUGGUUUGGGGAAGUAUCCAUUACUCUAAUCCCAAGGUGACCUUUCUCUCCUUUCUCAGAUUUCAUCCUUGGCCCUGUGCCCUAUACUUCAUUCUGUGUUUAAAUAUCCUAGUUAAUCAGGCCACUACCAUGGAGAUCAUGUAUCCUUCUUGGUGCUCACACACCUGUCACCUUGUAAAACACGGUAGCAAUUAGUCUGAACAUAAUACAGCUUCACUCUUUCUCUUCAUGCCUGUCCUCCACCAGAGAGUUGAUCCGCUGAGUAAUUAUGUUUGAUCUAUUGUACACUCAGGGACAGAGGUCCGACUCUUCAUGCUAGGAGUAGCAGAUGGUUUACCUGUGAACGAACAUCAAUUUUAACAUGAGGAGGACUUGGGUUGCAAAAGUGAAGAUUUCAGAGUCCAAGGGGUCUUACUCUGUGGGUUGGAGCAGGUUAGUGGUCCCAUGGGUUCAAAAAGAGAACAUAUUUUGUGGGUAUGAUGGGGCCAGAGCAGGGUAAGACUCUGCUGGGUGAGCUAAAGCCUGCUGGUCACAGCGAGGGCCUUCAUAGGAGCACUGUCGCCGUCUGAUACCCACUUUUCUUCAGGGUAGAAGACCCCAGUGUUUUGUGAAUGAGUCCGGAGACCUCUUGGGGGACUGUUUUCCUUCAGUAUUGCCUGGAUCUCUAGCUUCCUUUAUCCCUGCUGUUUCCCAGAACUGCCAACCUGGAAGCAGCUUUAUACCUCUGGGCUCUCAGUGGCCAGAAGGCUUAGAGACUUUUUAGUCCUUGCCCUGCAGAGCCAAGGUUUGAGGCUAGUACGGCUGCAAGGACACCUGUGUAAGGGUGCUGGUCCUCCAUGAGAUGCUCAGGCCGCCAGCAAGGCAGGGACAGGGAAAGAAUCCAUGUACUUAACAGCAGCACUUGCCUAGAAGCGAUUUCUAAACAUUGUGCCCUCUGCAACACGAAUUGAGACAGAAGUGAGGAGGACUGAGCUUGUAGACAAAGUGCCAGCCUAAAAGGGAAGUUGCAGUGCGUGUCUUUUGCAGAGAAUUAAUAUAGCAGGAGAAUAUAGCCCCUCUAGCUGUGUCGCUCAGGGGAAGAGACUAUUUGUUCUAUAUUCAGAUAUCUGGGUCUUUUGAGAAGGGUGGGGAAAAUAGGAGGUAGGUUACGGCUGGAAGGAUUUUGACUAAACUGCAGGCCUAAUCUCUAAGGUGCCAUCUGCCAUGUGUCUUCUAGAGAUAAAAUGGCACCCAGCUAUCCUGGCUAGUAAAGAUGAGUGAAUUCAGUUUACAUGUAAGACUUGAGUUUAAAGAAGACACAUUCCUGAGAACAUUCCUAAUCAUAAAAUGUGGAAGAUGUGAAAGUUAAGAAAUCAUGUAAGGAUAGAUCGGGGUUUUGGAGUUCCAUUGUUCCUGUUGACCAAGAUGCCAAGAAAAUAGUUAAAAUCACACAUCUAAGCCUAUCCUACAGACUGUCAGAAGAUCUGGGAUUGCAUUAACAUGUGUCAGCUACCAGUAGGCAUUGCUUUUUGAUGAAAUUAACAUUUUUUUGUUACAAAGAGAAGUCAUUGAAGACUGAGUCUGUAGGAAGUAUAUUGCUUCUAUCUCUACGUAGAACAUCUGAUUCACUUUAAAGAAUGUAGUUUAAAAUCUACUGGAAAUGAUCUAGAUGUAAUGCUCAAGGUAAAAAAUAAUGUAGGUGCUCUUCACUGUUUUUGAUAAAUGGUUUUCCGUUAUUUCAUUCUUUUUUGCCUUAGUAUGUAUGGUUUCCUUACUAAGAUGUGUUUCUGGCUGCUUCAUUCCUGUGUUCAUUUAGGAGACACUGCCCAGCGGUAGGCAGUGGGAGCAGAGGCUCAGUUCCUAACUUUAAGAAAGUUUGGUGGGGAGCCUUGUCCAAUUUAUUAUUUUUUUAACAAACUAUUAACUAUAUAAAAGGGCUCAAGAUUAUGAAUUCUGCAGGCUAAGAAAUGUCGCUCAUGAUUCCAUCCCUGCCUAUUUCUAUCUGUAGAGUCUUGUUGGUUCUUUAACUGUACUGAGUCUUGGUUUUCUGCUAUGUGGUGCAGGGGAGUACAAGUCCAGGUCCCACAGGGCGGUUAGGAGGAUUAAACGUGAACUCAUCAGUGUAUAUAAAACAGCGUUGACCCUCCUAUCUCAUAUAUGAUAACCACUCAAGUAGUAAUUUACUUUUAUUGUACAAGGCUUUAUGCUGUAACUGAGAUGUGGAUCCAAAUCUAUAGAAACACAGAGAUCAUUUUUGCCAAAGUACUUCCAAGAAACCUAACAGGCAAAUUGGAUCUGGAGGCAUGCUAAGAACUUCAGGUGGCCAAGCAAGAGAACAUUCUUGGCAGAAAGCGCAGGGCUAGACAAAACUGGUGGGAAAGUGUAUGGGUGUUCACGUGUUUUUAUGAGGAUGGUAUUUAAGGUGUUGCGUAACCACUUUUUAAUUUUGAAUGUUAAUUUGGGGGGGGGUGGGGGGGAAUUGGCUCAGGAAAACAGUUCCACGAGCUCUUAGUACUUCUGACAGGUUCUUGCUGCCCUAGCUCUUGGCUGGCUUUAAACAGCAAUAAAUAUUAAUGUAUGUAUCUUUUAGAAAUUUUGAUUCCUCAUUUGGUCCUUUUUGGAUUUUCCAGAAUUAUCUUCUCCUUCAGGGAUGACAGUCAUGUGUAUAUACAGCCUGAGAUGACCAAAAUCCUACGGCUGAUUUUUGUUGUCAUGCCUGCUGUCGCUCUCAUCAUGGUCUUCAUUUUUCAGAACUGGUCUGGGCUGUGAACUUGGAUCCGCCCCAGGUACUAGGUCUUCGGUGACCUUUGAGCACUGGGGCAGAGCAUGGAGGACAGAUAGGUGGCUUAGCAAUCCACCACCUGGGGCCAUGCUUGGUUAAAUCAGGUGGGUGAUCCGGGCAGGAGAUCCUCUUUCCCGUCAUAACAGGAGCACAGAGAAAGCACCUUGGAGCUGUAGGACUGGCAGCGUACACGUUCCAGAAACUAGGACCAGGAAGGAAGGUAUGUUGAGGAACAGGCAUAUUUGACCUCUUGGCCUCACACACUCUCUGUACCUCAUGGUACAAACUAAGACACUUCAGGGAAAGGGAACUUUAAUUAUAAUUGUGUAAACCAUGACUAUCCUGAACCUAUUUAAAAGCUUUGUUUUUAAACAAAAACCUCUUUCGUUUUUAAUACAAACUGGUAUUGCUGCUUCCCGCAGAGGCAGGGCCUAGGAGCUAUAGGCCACGAUUGAGGCAGGAAAUUAUCUUAGCCACAUAAAAACUCCAAAUGUAGGGUUAAAAAGAAACCAACCCUAUUUUUUUCCUAAGGGCUGGGCCCCAAGGGAACAAACAGCCCAUUCUUGCAGAGGACUGUGCUAACCUAAGUAUCUUAACUAUUCUUCCAGCCCUUCCCAGCCUGGGUGUGUGUGGUUCUGACCAGCCGUAACUUGGAAGAGCCCAACCAGAGCCAGGCCAGCCUCAGCCCUUCUCACCCACCCCUGAGGCUCGUAGGACAGAAGCAAGGAAUGGGGUAGGAAAACACUUUUAGCUGAAGAGGCCGCCCAGCUUGGCAAAUGUGAUUGCAGCAGGAUACUAGCCCAAGAGUGGAGGGUGUGUGUGGACCCAGGGCCCAGGAAGAAUUCACUCUGGUCCCUUCACACACCCCUCCCCCAUCUAGUCCUCCAUCUCAGCAGUGGAGGCAGAGGGGCCAGGGAGCCACCGAGAGCAGAAGGUUCAUCUGGCAGGAGGCCUAUGUACAGACGGUAAGCAGGGCUGUCUCCGCAGGCAGCUCCACUCCAGGCCGGGCAACCCCAAAGGGUCCAAGGAGGCCUCUACUCGCAGGCCAGCUUGCUGUCAAAGCUGGACAGGGCGAUGGCGAAGGCCUGCAGCGCACACAGUGGGUAGUUGUAAUCCAUGGUGAACACGUCCUCUGCUACACGGCCAAACUGCAUCACAAUGUAGUCCGCUGGAGACAGGCCCAGAUGUGCCCAGAGAGACGCAGAGGACAGAGAUGAGGAAGGGUGGCCAUUCAAGCCACAGUGGGAAGAGCAGGUGAGAAGCAGAGAUGCCAAGGGAAAUCCCAAAGGAGGUAAAAUAGACCAGUUGGGAGAAGUGGGGGGAAAGGGAGAGGACAAAGGAGACAGACAUACAAAAACCAGGAGACAAGACGAGGAAGAAGUCACUCAGAGGGUGUCUCUGGUGUUUCCACACCUGAGACAGCUGACUAGGGUUAGGGCUCCAAAGAAGGUCCUUCUCAGGGCCUCCCAGUCAUUAUGGUUAGAGAGCUCCUGACCUCUAAGUCCUAUCUGUAACCCAUGUCCUUGAGCUCUUGUACAGGCCGGGUGGGGUGAGUGAGCCUUGAGCUAUGGGGCCGUGGCUAUCAUGUGGACAGUAAUGAGUAAGGGCAGCAAUACUCACGGUCAUUGCCAUGGAUGAUCUGGAAGUUCUUCACGGAGGCCUGUGUGACGCGCCCGUGGAAGUUGAGUACGUAGGACUGCGUGUCGUCAUUCCAGACAGGAGUCUUGUUCUGCAGCUCAAUGACACUCUCCGUGUUCUUAUUCUGCCAGCGCGCUAGCAGCGUCUCGUGCUCCUGGGAAGGCAGCCGCCCCUGAGCCAGGCCCACCCCUGCCAUGGCAUUGUAACCGCCCUGAGGAGAGAUCUGCCCUUGGGGUGGGGUCCUCAGGUUUCCCUAGGAAGCUCCAGGGCUUCUCACCCUCUGUCUCCUCCACCGAAACACUACAGUUCUGCCCACAGAAGUGCGUGCAGGGGAAGGGGGUGGGCGGAGACUCACGUUUCGGGGCCGGAUGGAGACUCUCUCGUGAACCAUGUUCAUGCCUGGGACGAUCACACUCAUCUUCCGUGGCCCCUUGAAACCUAAGACGUUUGUCUCCUGGAAAACAGUGAGAACUCAAUGGAGAGACAGCAGGGGGCUGGGGAAAGGGAAUAAAGAUGAUGAGGAGCUA